rnacentral:rRNA from 1 species
GACGAACGCUGGCGGCGUGCUUAACACAUGCAAGUCGAACGGAAAGGCCCUGCUUUUGUGGGGUGCUCGAGUGGCGAACGGGUGAGUAACACGUGAGUAACCUGCCCUUGACUUUGGGAUAACUUCAGGAAACUGGGGCUAAUACCGGAUAGGAUCUCCUGCUGCAUGGUGGGGGUUGGAAAGUUUCGGCUGUUGGGGAUGGACUCGCGGCUUAUCAGCUUGUUGGUGGGGUAGUGGCUUACCAAGGCUUUGACGGGUAGCCGGCCUGAGAGGGUGACCGGCCACAUUGGGACUGAGAUACGGCCCAGACUCCUACGGGAGGCAGCAGUGGGGAAUAUUGCACAGUGGGCGGAAGCCUGAUGCAGCAACGCCGCGUGCGGGAUGACGGCCUUCGGGUUGUAAACCGCUUUCGCCUGUGACGAAGCGUGAGUGACGGUAAUGGGUAAAGAAGCACCGGCUAACUACGUG